rnacentral:misc_RNA from 1 species
CAUGGUGCGUGAAGCCGGCGGCGUCGUCAGCGGCAUCGAGGGCGGCGACACCGCAAUGGCCACCGGUCAUGUCGUCUGCGGCAACGAGACAAUCCAGCGUGAACUGGAUUUCAAAAGCCGCUCUGAUAGCGGUUGUCAUAGCCUGCCGACAUGAACGCCCUUUUGUCCCGGCCAUCCCGAUCACAUGAACACCGUGCUGGGUUUAUCUUCUCUCCUCGGAUUGAGGAGAAAGAGCGUUC